UUUUUGAAACGGUUAGGCGAGGUGCGUGGACACGGGUUAGGGUAAGAGAGGGCAGGACGAGGUGUGGUCGGCGGUGUGUUGGAUCGGGGAAGGAGUAGCUAGGGGUGUUGGGGAGGGAGGAGGAGCAAGGAGCGGUCCCGGGUAGGGGUGUUGGGGAGGGAGGAGGAGCGAGGAGCGGCACCGGAGGCGGGAUCCUCGGAGCGGGCCCGGAGGAUGAGGGAGAGGUGGUAGCAUCCACGUGUGUCUGCCGCCUAGACACGGCCUCUUCUCGUCGAGACCACCCCACGUCGACGUUGUCUCUACUUCCUCCAGGCGGCGGGCAGAAACGGAGGAGUUGCACAGGAACAACGACUCGGAUCGUCGCGUCGUCAGCCCCUGUUCCCCUUCCUCGUCCGGCUGGGCUGGCGUAGAGAAACGUGCUCCUGACCUCCUCGUUCAGCGCUCCCUUCGGCCGUGCCGGUCGCCGCCGCGACGUGUCCCUGCGGGCGGAGGCCAAAAGAUAGGACAGAGGGUUAGGGGGGAGUGAGGAGGAGCGAGGCUCCUUAACCCGUUACCGUGCCCCCACCUUGACCGGCUCCUUCUCCCGCUGGCACUACCCAACCUCCGGUUCCUUCUCCCGCUGUUGCGUUCCCACUUGCUCCCAUACGGACACCAGCAGCGCAACACUUUGCUGCGCUGACCCCUAUGUCUAAACAAAGGAAGGAGCGGAGUUGCUACUCGAGACGAAGAACUCGAACGUACAACACCUGAAAGAGAAGAGGAGAACAACCGAACGAGAGACUAGUUCGGUACCUUCCCUAUACACCUCUCUCGAAAUGAUAACCGUCACCGGCGUAGUAAAGCUGUUCACCGUACUAACUAGAAACGAUACACCUAGCUACCGUACUAGAUUUAAUCCAUUCGUUUCCACUGUAACAAAAGUCAUGUAGUCAAAUGACUUAUAAAACUUCCAAACUCGACGUAUUGAAUAUGUUAAAAUCGACGAAUAGAAAUAGUACAAUAGGUCAAGAAUGGUAUGGUAAACCAUCUAUUUACACGGCUAGAUGGUAACAUCUUAAUCAUGACAAAAAGUCGAUACACAUUAACCAGUUGAUACACGACAAUCAGUCGGUGAAGGUGAAAACCUACUAAUUAAAAAACGUACUUCCAAGUCUCUUACCGAAUAUAACGGAAGGUCAGGUGCACAAUUUGGCUUUUCACGGAAUGUACUUCUGACUACCGUUAUACCAAACCCGUAUCUCAAUUAUUACAACAGACUAAUAACACCCUACUAUAAGGGUGACUACUACUUUUGAUAUUGGUUCUACAUGGUUGAAAACGGAACGAUGAAACUACACAUGAAUAAUUUUGUCUACGAGCCGAACGGAACAGAAAAAACAACGGAGAAAAACCAGAACCAUUCAUGUUCAUGACCAACAAUAGGGGGGAAACCUGUAACUUACAUUAAAAUUCCAAAAGCAUUCCUACCUAUCCACGACCCACGGUAGGUCUAGAAGCACAAACUACGACCCUCGUUAAGAGUCUAACAGACACGUACUUAACCAGUUAAGAGGAAAGAGAACGUCUCACAGAAUAAAUAGGCUCCACCUAAGAAUAGAAGAAUGGUGUACGAACCAUUUACGUGUAAAAAGAAAGUAAAACCGAUCUGAAUCCGUUGGAAUGUGUUAAAUCUAUAGAAAAUGUCCUUGAAUAAGUUGAUCACACAACACUUAUACUUUGCCGUGUUUAACAAUGAAAUCACUCUUCAAGGACUUGUACCAGAGAUACAGAGACUGAACCAACUAACCCAAAGAAGACAAUAGGUCAGAGAGUGAUCCGAAUAAUGGAAACAACGACUUAAAACGGAUGUUAUAUAUAUUAACUGAGUGUACUGGUAGAAAUCAUGAAAUAUUAACCCAUCCUUUAAGUGUUAUUAGAAGGUUACAGCAUCGAACCUAUUUAUUAACACCGUAAUUUCAAUUUUGAUGUUUCUUCUAGUACCCUGUACUGAAUUAUAGUUUAAAAGAUCUCGGACCGUACCGUAAAUAAACACUGACGUACCGGACUUAACCCGUAGAUACCUUUGUACAAUUCGAGAACGAACUGUAAAUAAACACUGACGUGCCGGACUUAACCCGUAGAUACCUUUGUACAAUUCGAGAACGAAAACCUGUUAAUCCGACGGCAUUGAACGACCAAAUUAUAUGUGCACAGACGCCUUAAACGUUUACUUAGUAAUAGAGUCCAAAUCAGUACGUGUACCGGUGAUUAGUGUUGUUCCCAAUCCUUGUUCAGAUGAUAGAACUAAAAUUCAUUGACUUUAUAUGUAUAUCAAUUGAUACCAAAAUUCGAUGUGAAAUCAGAACAGGACUAUUGAUCUUGACGACACUACAACGAGACAAUAUUCAUGUAACGGAUGUGGUCAACUUUAUUGAGUACCAACGGAAAAGAAAACAAACAGGUCCGUUACAUACCAUCUUCCACAUUUAUCACAUCUAAGUCACAAGACAUAUAAAUACUUUAAGUGUUAGUCGUCACAGUACACACUACGCGGUACUUAGCAUCACUCGAAUAAAGAAACGUGUGAACCACAUAGGAGAAUAGUAGAAAACAUAUCCAGGACCUUACCUUUCUAGUCAAACCACCACGGUAUGACUUAGUUAAUACAUCCGAACCGUGGAGGGAACUAACCAGGCACUCCAUAUGAAGAAUAAAAGGAAUCAAUUCUUUUUAUUUCUUUUGUUUAUUUGUUACAUAACAGAUAUCAAGGUUGAGGGUUACAGUUGAAUUAAAGGUGGAGCACACAGUCAGGAAAUGUUACCUACUCAUUUCCAGUUUUGACAUUAACUUCGAAAAGAGUCCAACAUAUUUCUACCGGAAUAAAUAUCCAAUCAUAGGAGUAGAAGGGAACAAGGUCCACAAUUCGUAAACACAAAACGGACAAUUCAUUACGGUACCACAAAACUGUAGCUCGAUACUCAGUCACAUGACCAAACUGUCUAGCAUAACAGUAUAAGUGGAGAAGAGACCUAUAUUUCAUCUUAAUCAAUCAAAAUCCAAACUUACAGUCCGUUUUUAGUUUACCCUCUUCGCUGGAUAGUCAGGUCUAAGAUUAACAAUAAACCACAACUCUAAGUAUACCGACUGUGUAUUAAAAUUGACCCGCUAAAGUCUACAUUAGAUAACGGAGAGACUACACUAGAAGAUGUUUUAAUACAGAGUUGGUAGAGAUAAAUGUAAUGAUGACAUUCGAAGACUUUCCAUUUAAUACGAUCCUGUUAAGAACAAAUCGAAAUUGAUACUAUAGGAUUUACGCGUUCAUUUAUGAUGACCCUAAUGCUGAUGUUUUCUAUAAUACUGUACGCUUGUUAAGAACCAACUUUAUGACACUCGAAUUUAUUAUCCUCGAUUUGACAAAACGACACAAAUCUUAACCAUGAUCUUUUCUAUUAGAUUUGACAUGUAAGACUUUCAUAUAACCUGAGAACGGGAAAACUUUAAUCAGAAGAUUCGUAAUGAAACAUUGUUUACUGUCCUAUUGAACGACCAAGUCAAAUUUCAACGUCCGUUUGCGAACGCUCGUUGGGAGUCGACCAGUAGUAGCGAGUACUACAACUGGGUCAACUCGACCAACACACCAAGGGUCGGGACACGUCCUUUAACCCUCCAGGGUAUGACGUAACAAUUCCCUCUUAGUGUGGCACCUGGCAUAUCCAUAAAGGAUUACAUUCACAGUACAAAAGGAAGAAACACGUGGACCUGCCCUCACGAGUACUCUCGCUGCUGUACGAUGACUUGAGUUAAAAUCUUUACUUAAACCCCCGGACACCAGACCUCGGGGAGUAAUCUUCACGAGUCCGCCGUACAGUGUCAACAAACGACUCUUAAAUGGUUCUUGUUAAAAAAGAACAGAGAUCGUACUCCGAUACUCGGGAUAUCAUCAAGGUCACACUACUAGAUGGUGAACAGAUCCUUCCCCCUAAUUUUCUACCGUGAACAGUAAACCUCGUUAAUCAUAACCUGAUAAACUACUUCAUUUAUAAAUUUGGUGAUUUGGAAUAUGAGUAAACAUUUUUCCAAUACACAAAAAAAUUAGGUAAUCGUCUCAAUCAAACAGAUCUUAUUGAUUGAUAGACCUCAAGACCUGAUUAUACCUUACUACUUUUAAAGUCUUGAUCUAUAUUUUAAACUACGCAGACCGAACAAAUUGAACGUCAGAAAUAAAAAUUAUUAAAACAACAACAACUCCAACGGGGAUCCAAAAUAAUGACACCCAGAUUAAAUCUAUUAAACUUUUAUCAGGAUAUAUCCUCAUACGAGUAGAUAUUGUCAACCCUCCCUUUAGUAUGGUUAAUGUCUAAAACAGUUUUGAACCGUAAUGAUAUACGUAUUUAGAUUUAAUAACAAGUAUUACCUAAGUGGUGAUGACAUGUAUUCGAUGUAAACGAUACGUAUAUUCGGCUUAAUCAUCGUGAUACAGGACAAAAGAACGAAGUUAUGGCACAUGAUGGAGAAAUGAAACAAGAGGUGUAAAAUUUAAAGUAGAAAGAAACCUUCAUAUCAGCGGUUGAAUACCAGACGUAACACAUAUUGACUUUACUCACUUCAAAGGAUUAUGGUAACAGAUAUUGACUUUACUCACAUCAAAGCAUUAUGGUUUCGUACACGUGAGUGUAUAAACAGAGAGAAAAUCACAACGACUUACGUAUUUUUUGUACGUGUACCGGCUUUCAAUUUUUUCAGGCUCCUUAACCCAAAAGUAAAAAGAGAAUCUUAACAAGUACAACUACGACAACAGUAAAAAAGACUUUAAAUCUGUUGAGAAAGGCGAAUUAUUAUCAAAUGGCUAAAGUCACGUAGGAUACAUACAAACUGACUAACCAGCAGGAGAGUAGGUCUCAAUGAGUCGCAACGUAAACACACAAGGAAAUGGGGUGAAACGAAUAAAAAACCAGUACACUCGCCCAACACACAAUAACAAAGGUAGCAGUAAAUCAUACGACUACAAAAAAUUCUACUGAAGAUAUAACGACCUUUGAAUUUAAAAUUAAAUAUGUAAACUCGUCGACUGAUCUAAUUCUUUAUUAAAAACAUUCUAACUCCGGUCAAAUAAACCAUUCCAUCUUCUUUUUAUCCUACUUAUACGUGUACAAUAAUGACGUGCUUCCGAUUUGAGACUUAUAGUAACUACCAAGAAAGGGCUCCAACUCAUCCUCACAGAGGGAAAAAGCAUAUUAAAACAGAGGUGUUAAAGGAUUUCUUAUCAAACCAAGAUCUUGUUUGUACGAUACUUAUUAACGUAACAAUGAAGUCACUUUUCAAGGACCCGUUUGAUACACAAGGAGACCUAAACCAACUUUCAUAAAGAAAACAAUAGGUUAAAGAGUGAUGUGUACAAUGGAAACAACGACUUAAAACGGAUGUUAAAGAUAUAUCAUCUGAGUGUACUAAUGGAGUACGCCUAAGAUAUUGAACCUUUUGUGUAGAUCCUAUAAGUACAACACACAACAAGGGACCUCUUUCGAAACUAUGAGGUCAGUCGGUGAAUGUGCUGUUGGGUCUUAACUAAGUAUUAAAGUACAAAUGUGAAGAUAAUGUCAUCUGGUUGUACAGUAUUUGUACCACAACCAGUAACAAACAGGUCAAGGGAAGUUUUUUCUUCUCUACCGUCUCUCACCGAGGUAGUGACUUCUCUGCUGCUUGUAAAACGUUCCGUAACAAAGAAGUCCAGGAAAUUUUUUAUUUCCUUAAUGUUACGUAGAUUGGAUAUUUCCCCGACACUUCCUGUUUUACGAUACCUGGGUCUCCUCACCCUCCCCUCUUAAAUGGUUGUUACGUAGUUCCUGUUUCGCACUGGACCAAAGGAUUCAAGGUCGAUUGUAUCGUUUUAACAUAUCUCUCUUACGGGCGUAAAACGAUAAUGUAUCAAACUCCGAUACAAAGAAAAUAAAAAGUAAUAAUUUUCGUAGGAAUAGUAACGAUUUAAUAGUUCGUAAAUAAAAGUUUAUUGAGAACCAAACUUCACCCCGGAAACGCGGAACGAGGUAAACCACGUUACUCAUUACAAUAAUAUGCAGAAUAACAUCUGUGGUUCGGAAACAAGAAAAAAACGCUUCUCCCCAAUUUAAACAAUUUGGUACGUAAAAGAAAGGUCACGUGUAUACUUAAGUCGUCCACGGACGCGGUAAACCGCUACUGUGGGAACGAGAUUUUUUUUCCAAGACACGAAUUAAAAUAAGGUAUCCAAAAUUCUGUAGUAAAGACAUUUACUAUCGAACGUUUUUACAACAUAUAAACCACUUCCUCCCUCAUAAUGAAUAGGUAAAAUUGUAACACUUACUAUUCAAUGUAUCCCCUCUUUGAAAUAGUGGUUGAUUUCAGAAACUAUACGUUUAUUAAGAGAUAAGUUUCAGUUCUAGUAUAUACGGGCUCAUUAAAACAAGUGUCAUGAACGAAUACUGCAAAUUCAACCGUAUGUACAGAAGGGUACUUGUGCAGAUAACUAUGUACAAAAAAAAGAGUUUCGCGUGCACAAUCAGCCAUAGACACAGUAAACGCAUGUACUAAAGUUUACCGAGAGACACUUGUACCAUCGUUCUUAAAACACGAUAGUUUAAUAUUAUACAUAUAUGAUGGAGGCAGCAAAUAACCAGAAGUAACAUAAAACACGGUUUAAAAUUGGUAUUUAAAUUGAUUGUUUUACAAGUACGUACAGUAGUUUUUAAUAUAAUUACUUUUGAUACAAGUUUAUGUUUAGAUUACUAUAUUAAAAACAACUGUACGUAAUUAUAAAAUAGUCUAUUUAUAAACCAGUUUUAAACCGUGUCUAAUGUCCUGGUUAUUUGGUCCUGCCUCCAUCAUGUAGAGUGACACUUUUUGUUAGGUGGUACAAAGAAUAAUUUCACCUAAUUUGGUACCUAAAAAAGUAGCGUGUGUACAUAAAUCACAUGGAGAUGCUGUAAAUCACGUUGUCCAGUUACUAUUGGUAUAAAAGUUGAUUUUGUUACGAAGGAAUCGACCAGAUUGGUAUAAUGUUAAAAAAAAGUUCGAGCCUAAAUCACACUAUUGGUAUAAAAGUCAUAUCGUACCAAAUUAUUUUUACUCGAAAGAUGAUGGCUAUAGCUUAUCCAGGAACGUUUUACUUUGAUAAAAGUAACUGUUGUACCUAAAUCGCCCAGAGACGCGGUAAACCGCGUUGCCUAGUUAAUCAUUCGAAUUGUCUAUCUUCUUAAAGACGUGACCAUAGCAUACACUCCUUUCUAAGGAUGUCCUUAAGAGAUACGAGGUUACGUCUACAUUCAUGGACAAUAUAUAGUGAUAUAAAAAUGUAGCCGUACAUAAAACAAUUAGCCGCACUUAGGUUGGAAAUAGACUAGAUUUAAAUCAACAUCGUUUUACAUACUAAUUUCCAGUGUUACAACUAAAAACAUUCCUUUUAACGGAUCAUCAAAACGUGGGACUCGACGUACUCACAUGAUGGAGUAUAGUCACCCAAACUUAUGAAAUAAAGACGUCACCUAAAAGUUACAAAAAAAAUGAUACAACAGGACAGCAUAGGGAUCGAUAAUGUAGUAUGAAGGAGGUAGGCCUAAUGUACAGUGUCUUUACCUAUUUUGAUCUACAUAGAUCUUGAUUUUAUGCGGAUCUGGGUAGGUAAAUAAAGGCCUACCUCCCUUAUGUACAGUUAUACAGUAUGGAAAGAUAAGAAGUCAUGGAUAAGGUAGAGACAACAUCGUACAAGAUAUUGACUUAGUGGUAAGAAGAUAUAUUCCGUAAGUUCCCCUUUUGCUGAUAUAAUCUUAGACUUCCCAAUGUUUGGUCCAGAAACGUUUUCUAGGUUUGCGGUCCUCUAUUAUUUGGUUGAGGUAAAAAGUAUCUAUGACGAGGUCGUGUCUCUUUGGGUUGAGGGUGACUAUUAUUCGUCUAAGGUCACCGGUUUCUUGAUCAGGCGAGGACAGGUCGAUUUCUUACAGUUGAGGUAAAAUUCUUCGCACACACAUAGGAGCGUAGUACUUUAAAAUAUCGUAAGACUAGUAUAAAAGAUGUACAAAGAAUGGGUAGAGAGAAAAUCUAUUAUUCCAAUUUACUAUCUUCUGAAGGAGGUAACCCUAGCAUAAGCUCUUUUUAUAGAACGCCCUUAAGAGACACGAGGUUACGACUAACCAGCUCUGUGUGAGGUGAUAGUUAUUAUGUUCUGACGGUUUUAGCGGUAGACUUAGACAAGUCAUAGGAGACAGAGUUUACGUUGUCUUAUUUACAUACAAACACUUGGUUAAUUACCGACUUCGUUACUACUUUUACCACCUACUUAGUCUCUACGUCUCAGCAUGCUGUGUUGUUGACUACUUACAAAGGUGUCUGUCACAUCGUUUCGUCGUUCUUGAACGGGCGUACGAAUACCCGCAGUAGACACGGCUCCAACGUCUAACACUGCAACAUCUACCAAUCCAAGACGAGUAAAUAAACGUGACCGUAGUUAGAAACUAACGGUUCACCUACAUUAAAGGACAUUAUAUACGACCUACACGUUGCCAUAAGGGACAUACAGCAUGGAAACGAACUAGCCAAAACCAGGACACGUAUUAACAAGCAGCAUUACCC
rnacentral:rRNA from 1 species